CCAAUUUAGUCGAUAAAACCAAAUCCCACUUCGCUCUUCCGCGAUCUCACUUUGCUUUACCGCGAUCUCACUUCACUUUGGCAAAGAUAUUUUAGACUUCGUUCGACAGUUGACAUUUCAACAACUUCUGGACUUCGUUCGCGGUCUGACAUUUCAAGUCUUCAACAAAUUCGAAGUCCUCACUCCUCAGUUCUCAGACUCAGAUCGCAAAGGUACCAAAAGAAGAUUUCUUAAGCUCGUCUUGUGGGCUUGCUUGAUGGCACCCUCUUCAAGGAAUGUGAAGGAAGCAUUACUUGGGAACAACCCCAAGGGUACAGGACUCAAGCCUUGAAGAUUUCAUUGCCUUGGAUCGUUUGGUAGCUUUAUGUAUUAAACUUGUAUUCUUUGAUUCUACGUAUGUUAAGUGUACAUAAGUACACUCCUUUUAAUGCAUUAGACAUGUAAGACAUGAGGCCCAAGGCCAAGCAAGUUUAUAUUUGCACUUGUAUUCAAUUGAUGCCAUAUUUUGCUUGAAAAUGUAUUUUUAUCAACUAUGGAGGCUUUGUAUGCUAAAACUUGUUAAUGGAAUGUAA